GUCGCUGUUGCUCCUGUGUCAGAGAGAGGCUGCAGUGCGGACGCGAAGCCCGCUCCCGGCCGCCGCGCAGGUGCUGACGCGCUUUGGAGCGCUCCCGGCAGUUCACAAGACCCACAUCCACCCAUCUCCCAGAGCAUUCUCACCUCUUGCUUGCUCAGGUGUGUGAAUCUCCUGCCAGAAGACGCUGCUUGAUGAUGUCACUGUCAGCGCCUGGUGUCUCCAACUCCAGGUCGUCUUCAUCUGCCUCUGGGAGAUCCAGGUGACACGACGCUUCAGCUUACCUUCUUGCCAGGAAUCAGGACGUCUGUACCAGAUACAACCGAGAGCAUUGGGACCUGUGUAACACCUGGUGCAUGAGAAAAUACCCUCCAUUUAGAUAGGGAACCAAUACUAGACACUCCUUACUGCCCCCAAGCCAGCCACCAGCCCCACCUUGUCCCCUGGGCUUGGAGGGGAAAACAAUGACACAGAAGCUCAUGGUACAGAUACUGGACUGGUCAUGUUCUUAAUGGCACGUGGAGAUGCAAACCCAAAUGUCAUGAAUUCUGUUCUACCUCUCAGCUCCCACAGUGGCCUAGUAGACCCCAGUUGCCUUCCAGAUAGAACCCAGGUGUCCUGACUCCUAUUGACCUCUGCUCGAACCCACCAGACCCCAGUCCUCUCCCUGAGCUGGACUCGCACGAAGAGGCUUUUACUACAAGCCAGGGUAGCCCUAUAAUUUGGGAUUGAAUCUAGCAGUUAAACUGUGAGGCCUUCUGUAACUGAGAGAAAUCUGGCAGACUCUACCCGAAAAUGGCCACUGACUGCAGUGGAGUCACCCUGGAUUCACUCCACUGUACCUGGACCCUGACUUAGUCUUUGGUCACUAUAUAAGUUCCAACUUCCCAUGUGCUCAGCUCCUGCAGCAACAGUCCAAUGCUGCACUGGCUGCAUCUACAUGAGAUGCUAACUACGCAACUGUUAUUGCACAGUCAUACUUGCAUACACAAGUACUAAAUGACUGCGCAGUAAGUAGCGUUACUGCACAGUAGCAUCUCCACAUGGCUUUUUAGUGAUGCUAACUGCACAGUAGCUCGUUAUUACUGUGUAGUUGUAUUGUAUCUCGCUUUGUGCCACACAGUGCUACUGUACAGUAGUAAUGAGCUACUGUGCAGGCAGUGUCUCAUGUAGAUGUGACCACUGAGGAGAAGGGUUUGACCUGUUGUUUCCAAAAGCCAGGCACGCCUCUCUAUGGGUGUGUAGACAGUGAUGUGUCCCACCUGACAGACAUAAUUCACCCCUCAGUUUCUGUCUGGUAAGCCUGGCAAGUAGUCUGAUCUUCUGGCACGUUUUCCCAGUCAUCAUACAGUCCUCUCUGGUGUGAUUGGAAGGUCUCAGUGCUGUGUCUGAGGGGAAGGCCUGUGUCCCGCUGGAGCCAGACAAUGCUCAGCUCUGGGGAGAAGAGAUCCUCGGUAGUGAAACAAAAGGUGGUGAUGCCGCUUUCAAUCACUGAGCCAAGUGUGGAGAUCUCUGACACCUCUUGGCACCACAGGAUGCCUGUGGAAUGAAGCAGAGACUGAAGGCGUUACAAGGAGGAGAAAUGCAGUGGAGUGAUGGGGGAAGCUGUUGCUGCAGCUACAAUGGCACUACUACUUCGGGCACCUGAGCUCAGGGAAGAGGCCAUGGCUGAGUGACUCCACAUGGAGAGAAUGGAGCAGCAGUGUAUUUAGAGGCCAGUGUUAUCCCCAUGCUAUUUGCAGUGGUGACCAUACUUGUCAGAUGGCCUGAACUUUACAUUUACAGUACACUUUUUUGGUAUUUGGCUAAAUAACACUGGGAAUUUCUGUUCAUUCAUGAUAGUUCACAAAUGCUAAAAAAGAGCUCACCUGUGAAACAGUCA